rnacentral:rRNA from 1 species
GACGAACGCUGGCGGCGUGCCUAAUACAUGCAAGUCGAGCGGAAGUUGGAGAGCUUGCUCUUCAACUUUAGCGGCGGACGGGUGAGUAACACGUGGGCAACCUGCCCUGCAGAUCGGGAUAACUCCGGGAAACCGGUGCUAAUACCGAAUAGUUUUCGCCACCUCCUGGUGGCGUACGGAAAGACGGUUUCGGCUGUCACUGCAGGAUGGGCCCGCGGCGCAUUAGCUAGUUGGUGGGGUAACGGCCCACCAAGGCGACGAUGCGUAGCCGACCUGAGAGGGUGAUCGGCCACACUGGGACUGAGACACGGCCCAGACUUCUACGGGAGGCAGCAGUAGGGAAUCUUCCGCAAUGGACGAGAGUCUGACGGAGCAACGCCGCGUGAGUGACGAAGGUUUUCGGAUCGUAAAACUCUGUUGUGAGGGAAGAACAAGUACCACUUAACUACUGGUACCUUGACGGUACCUCACCAGAAAGCCACGGCUAACUACGUGCCAGCCGCCGCAGUAACAC